rnacentral:rRNA from 1 species
CCCUAUCAAUGUAAAUUUAAANGCUAGUCUAAAGAGGUACAGCUCUUUAGACAAAGGAUACAACCUUUAUUAGAGAAUAAACUACUUCCCUUACCAUUGUAGGCCUAAGAGCAGCCAUCAAUAAAGAAAGCGUUAAAGCUCAACAAAAUACAUAACAUAAUAACAAUAAAAAUUACUUCCUACACUAAAAACUGAGUUAUUCUACCUAACCGUAGAAGAAAUAAUGCUAACAUGAGUAACAAGAAUAGCUUUUCUCCUUGCACAAGCUUAUAUCAGACCGAAUAAAUCACUGAUAGUUAACAACAAAAUAACUAUAACCUAACUAUAUUAAUUUAGUUAUUAUUUUUAUUGUUAACCCAACACAGGAGUGCUUCAAGGAAAGACUAAAAAAAGUAGAAGGAACUCGGCAAACACAAGCCCCGCCUGUUUACCAAAAACAUCACCUCUAGCAUUAUAAAUAUUAGAGGCAAAGCCUGCCCAGUGACAAUAAUUGUUUAACGGCCGCGGUACCCUGACCGUGCAAAGGUAGCAUAAUCACUUGUUCUUUAAUUCAGGACUAGUAUGAAUGGCCAAACGAGGGCUUAACUGUCUCCUACUUUCAGUCAGUGAAAUUGACCUCCCCGUGAAGAGGCGGGGAUAAAAAAAUAAGACGAGAAGACCCUAUGGAGCUUUAGCUAAUUAUUCACCAGUAGUAAAUAAUCCUCCCAUAGGCGUAAUAAUACUAUUACCUGAAUAACAAACUUUGGUUGGGGUGACCUCGGAGAAUAAAAAAUCCUCCGAGAGAUAAAAUUGAGACUUACCAGUCAAGACAUUUAUCUCUUAUUGAUCCAAAUAAAUUUGAUCAACGGAACAAGUUACCCUAGGGAUAACAGCGCAAUCCUACUUGAGAGUCCAUAUCGAAAGUACGGGUUUACGACCUCGAUGUUGGAUCAGGACAUCCUGGUGGUGCAACAGCUACCAAGGGUUCGUUU